GACGAACGCUGGCGGCGUGCUUAACACAUGCAAGUCGAACGGUGAAGCGCCUUCCUUUUUGGUGGGUGUGGAUGAGUGGCGAACGGGUGAGUAACACGUGAGUAACCUGCCCCCUUCUUCUGGAUAACCGCAUGAAAGUGUGGCUAAUACGGGAUAUUCUGGGUCUGUCGCAUGAUGGGUCUGGGAAAGAUAUUGUUUCGGUGGGGGAUGGGCUCGCGGCCUAUCAGCUUGUUGGUGGGGUGAUGGCCUACCAAGGCGGUGACGGGUAGCCGGCCUGGGAGGGUGGACGGUCCCACUGGGACUGAGACACGGCCCAGACUCCUACGGGAGGCAGCAGUGGGGAAUAUUGCACAAUGGGCGCAAGCCUGAUGCAGCGACGCCGCGUGAGGGAUGGAGGCCUUCGGGUUGUGAACCUCUUUCGCCAGUGAAGCAGGCCUGCCUCGUUUGUGGGUGGGUUGACGGUAGCUGGAUAAGAAGCACCGGCUAACUACGUG
rnacentral:rRNA from 1 species